CUGGCCCUCUUCAAGGGGAUUCCCUCUGCUCCACUUGCUCAGAGCAGCCUCACAGGCAUCACUCACUAGGGUGUAUAAACACAGAAUGCUGUGUGUUUUCAUCUUGGUAGGAUCUACAAGAGGGAUGUUUCUGUGUUAAUUUUUCAUAAAGGAAGGCUAAGGAAAAAACAUUCUCCAGCUCUGGAACUCUAGUGUGGGUGAGACUGCAGCAGUUUUUGUUCAUGUAUCCCUCCUGCAGAGUUCUCACUACAUAGCAGCAAGCUGACAGCUUUUUGCAGACCACAGGAGUUUGUCACCAUGGAGAUCCUCCUGUUUUCUUCAAGAGUGAUUCAAAUCUUACAGAUGGAGCAUAUGUGACAGCAGCAAAACAAAAUCACCAAGAAUUCACAUUAAACAUUCCAGAAAGAGGAUUUGAACACCAACCAACA